rfam:Bombyx mori DNA, contig: Bm_scaf78_contig32332, strain: p50T/Dazao, build 2, whole genome shotgun sequence.
AAUACACAAAUUUGUAUGAACCUGGAGCGUUUGCCUAUGUUGGCCGCUAGGGGCGCUGUUCCAACUCCAUACAAAUUUGAGUUA